AGAAUUGAAUAUCCAAACCCCUAUCUAGUUAGUGUGCUUCUUAGAAUACAAAUAGAAUUACAAAAUGUUUCAGUAAUCAAAAAGGGACAGCAUCGGCAAACAGUUGACAUCAAAAUUGUCUGCUCAUCAAAGAGGAAUGACAGAUCCUCCUUCAUCAACAUGUUUUCCUUAGGAAUGGUGCCAGGAUGCAGGGCAUAAGUGAGAGGACAGUUCCCUUGGUUAUGAGGUAACUAAAAAUAGCCACCUUUGAAAGCCAUCAGAGGUCACUUGUUUUGAAGAAAAUCAUCAGAAGAACUUUGAACUAUAAGAUAUUGACUAUUAAAUCAUGUUAUUUUCUUCAUUUGUCAAAGUUAUUGGGAUGUAGCAAAUACUUGAGACUUUGAAUUGAGUAGAUUUUGAGUAGAUUUAUGAAUGAAAUCAAAGGACACACAAAAACAGUGUAAUUCACCCAUCUGGAGACUCCACGUAUGAGUUUGAAAACUUUUAGUAUGUAUGCCAAUUAGUCCAUCCAGCCAAAUAGGCACAACAAUUUUCCGAUAAUAAGAAAAAUAAGACCAAGAAGCUAGCUGGAAUACUAAGAAAAACAACAGAGGGAGUUAAAUUCUUCAUUAAAAUUGACCACUUCUAGAGGCCUUGCAGGAAAUAUUAAAAUAAGUUCUUCAAUGAGAAUGAAAAUGAUAUAGGUCAGAAACUUGGAUCUGCAUGAAGAUACACCUUAAAAAAGGAAGAGCAUCAGAAAAAUGAAUAAGUGAAGGUCAAGUGCUGUGCUGUACUGAUUGAUAGAUUGUCUCCAGCAGGAAGUUUGACAAUGGACAACCUAGAAGCAGAUGUGCCUGAUAAAUGUAAAUGGUAGCUUCUUUGUGGCCCUUCCACCAGAAGUGAAGAAGCCUGGUGCAGAGCUUCUACUUGACCUAUGAUAGAUAUGCUGCUGGAGAAGAAAUCAACCUCCUGGUUCCCACCCAUAUCUUGCUCUGGUUAGUCACAAUCAGAAUCUUCACAACCACAAUCAGAAUCUUCCCACAGCCCUACCUGCAACACCUGCUUGUCUCUGCCAUUACAAUAUAAGCCUGAGGACCUCAACAGAUGCACCUGCCCAAUCUUAAACUUUCCAGCAAUCUGAAUUGUGAGCCAAAUAAUUUUUUUAUAAAUUAUCCAGCUUCAAGUAUUAUACCAACAAAAAAAAGGAAAUGCAAUGAGUCAAUAUACUUACUGAGAUUGCAGAAGAGACUGAACACUGCGCUAGGCUCUGAAGAGAAAGAUGAAAAAGAAGAAAGUGCUCCUGAGUAUAUGACUACUUGUACUUGCUAGCACUGAGGCAAGUACAAACUCUAGGCAUCAGGCUUUUGGUCUCACUCUUAGCGAAUUUGAACACUGGCUUUUUUGUUGGGCUUCCAUUCUUCUCUCAGCGCAAGAAUACCAACGUUUAUGACCCAGGAAGCACCAACUUAUACUUCACAGAGCUAAGAAACAGCAUUUCGCCAUGUCACGCAGGCUGGUCUUCAACUCCUGGACUCAAGCUAUCCACGGGCCUCGGCCUCCCAAAGUGCUAGGAUUACAGGCAUGAGCCACUAUGUCCGGCUUGGAGUUUUUAGUCUCAUCAAACCAACUCACCCAAAUGUCCCUUGGUGACAAAAAGUUUUCUGAAAGAUUAAGUAAUCUUUGUUUCCCAAGCCUGACAAAAUAAAAAGUUUUCUGUCUCUCU
rnacentral:lncRNA from 1 species